rnacentral:rRNA from 1 species
ACCUAACCUAUGGACGGGGAUAACCUCGGGAAACUGAGAAUAAUACCCGAUAGAACAUUAUGCCUGGAACGGUUUAUGUUUCAAAUAAUUUAUUGCCGUAGGAUGGGACUGCGGCCUAUCAGUUUGUUGGUGAGGUAAUGGCCCACCAAGACUAUUACAGGUACGGGCUCUGAGAGGAGUAGCCCGGAGAUGGGUACUGAGACACGGACCCAGGCCCUAUGGGGCGCAGCAGGCGAGAAAACUUUGCAAUGUGCGAAAGCACGACAAGGUUAAUCCGAGUGGUUUCUGCUAAAGGAACCUUUUGCCAGUCCUAGAAACACUGGUGAAUAAGGGGUGGGCAAGUUCUGGUGUCAGCCGCCGCGGUAAAACCAGCACCUCAAGUGGUCAGGAUGAUUAUUGGGCCUAAAGCAUCCGUAGCCUGCUUUGUUAGUUUUCGGUUAAAUCUAUUCGCUCAACGAAUAGGCUGCCGGGAAUACUGCAAAGCUAGGGAGUGGGAGAGGUAGACGGUACUCGGUAGGAAGGGGUAAAAUCCUUUGAUCUAUUGAUGACCACCUGUGGCGAAGGCGGUCUACCAGAACACGUCCGGCGGUGAGGGAUGAAAGCUGGGGGAGCAAACCGGAUUAGAUACCCGGGUAGUCCCAGCUGUAAACUAUGCAAACUCAGUGAUGCAUUGGCUUGAUGCCAAUGCAGUGCUGCAGGGAAGCCGUUAAGUUUGCCGCCUGGGAAGUACGUACGC